rnacentral:rRNA from 1 species
AGUGAACGCUGGCGGUAGGCCUAACACAUGCAAGUCGAACGGCAGCACAGGAGAGCUUGCUCUCUGGGUGGCGAGUGGCGGACGGGUGAGGAAUACAUCGGAAUCUACUCUGUCGUGGGGGAUAACGUAGGGAAACUUACGCUGAUACCGCAUACGACCUACGGGUGAAAGCAGGGGACCUUCGGGCCUUGCGCGAUUGAAUGAGCCGAUGUCGGAUUAGCUAGUUGGCGGGGUAAAGGCCCACCAAGGCGACGAUCCGUAGCUGGUCUGAGAGGAUGAUCAGCCACACUGGAACUGAGACACGGUCCAGACUCCUACGGGAGGCAGCAGUGGGGAAUAUUGGACAAUGGGCGCAAGCCUGAUCCAGCCAUACCGCGUGGGUGAAGAAGGCCUUCGGGUUGUAAAGCCCUUUUGUUGGGAAAGAAAUCCGGCUGGCUAAUACCCGGUUGGGAUGACGGUACCCAAAGAAUAAGCACCGGCUAACUUCGUGCCAGCAGCCGCCGCUG